AUUGAACGCUGGCGGAAUGCUUUACACAUGCAAGUCGAACGGCAGCACGGACUUCGGUCUGGUGGCGAGUGGCGAACGGGUGAGUAAUGUAUCGGAACGUGCCCAGUCGUGGGGGAUAACGUAGUGAAAAUUACGCUAAUACCGCAUACGAUCUAUGGAUGAAAGCGGGGGAUCGCAAGACCCCGCGCGAUUGGAGCGGCCGAUAUCAGAUUAGGUAGUUGGUGAGGUAAAGGCCCACCAAGCCAACGAUCUGUAGCUAGUCUGAGAGGACGACCAGCCACACUGGAACUGAGACACGGUCCAGACUCCUACGGGAGGCAGCAGUGGGGAAUUUUGGACAAUGGGCGAAAGCCUGAUCCAGCCAUUCCGCGUGCAGGAUGAAGGCCCUCGGGUUGUAAACUGCUUUUGUACAGAACGAAAAGGUUUCUACUAAUACUAGGAGCUCAUGACGGUACUGUAAGAAUAAGCACCGGCUAACUACGUGCCAGCAGCCGCCGUAA
rnacentral:rRNA from 1 species